ensembl:lncRNA
GCCACCAUGUCCCUCUGGGAGGGGACGCUCCAGGGCAAGAGCUCCAGCGGCAUCUUCUUCCACGUGGUGACCCCCGACCGCAUCCCGCAGUUCACCAUCCCCUCCCUGGACGUCCACGGGAAGCACAGGGGCUCAGGGAAGGGGAUGGGGCAGCUGGAGGGGACGGCGUGGAGGAGCAGCUCGGACCCAGCGGGGCGGGAGGAGCUGCCGGGCUCCGACUCCUCCGGCCCCAACUCCUCCUGCUCUGACCCCCCUGCCCAGCCGAGCCCAGACCCCACUGCCUGGGCAGCUCUGUCCCUGCCCCACCUCCCCCAGGUCACCACCCCCUACGGCUUUGUCACCCUGGGGCAGAGCCCGCAGGUCACCAGGGAGGAGGCGUUUUUUCACUCGGGCUCGGGCCACCCUCGAGGUCCUGCUGCCGAGACGCGUCCCGGCUGGCAGGAGGAGCCGGGAUGCUGCAGACCCCCCGGGAUGGCUGUUGCCGAGGGAGAUUCCCAGAGGGAUGGAGGCCAGAGGGGCCACAAGCAGCCGAGUCCUCGUGCCACCGCUCUCAAGGAUGGCAGAGCCAGCCCAGCCUUCGGGACCUCAGCAGGGCUUCCCCUGCCCGGGAGAUGUGCCAGCCCCGUCAGAGACAUCCAAAGAACAGACGUUCUGGAGAGCAAAGAGGAGGAGAAGAGGGAGAAGAGGCUCCUGGGGGUGUUUUACCAGAGGAGCAGCUCCAGCCUGGAGCUCCCCGCUGUGACAGGCAGGAAAAACUUGUUCCAGAGGAUCCUCAGGAGGCGCCUUGUCCAGCCCCGGCAGCUCAAGCCCGUGGAUUUCACUCUCCACUGAUCUUGCAAAGAGAAACAGAGGUUCCCCAAAGACCUGGGGAAGAGAGACUUCUGUAAGUGCCUCAGCCUGCAGGGCAGCCAGGCUGGGACAGGAGGGUGAGGGUGUCACUUCACCUGGAGGGGAAGCCUUGAAGUGACAUUGCCCUUGGCUGAGGAGGGACAUCCGAGGGGCAGGAGGGGCAGCAGUGCUGGGGAGCAGAGGGGCUGCGGGUUUGUGACUGUUCAGAGCCUGAAUAAAAGCGAGAACAUUUCACCCA